UGGGGGAUAUUGCACAAUGGGGGAAACCCUGAUGCAGCGAUGCCGCGUGGAGGAAGAAGGUUUUCGGAUUGUAAACUCCUGUCGUAAGGGAAGAGGAAGGACUGUACCUUACAAGAAAGCUCCGGCUAACUACGUGCCAGCAGCCGCGGUAAUACGUAGGGAGCGAGCGUUGUCCGGAAUGACUGGGUGUAAAGGGAGCGUAGGCGGGAUGGCAAGUCAGAUGUGAAACCUGAGGGCUCAACCUUCAGACUGCAUUUGAAACUGCUGUUCUUGAGUGAAGUAGAGGUAAGCGGAAUUCCUGGUGUAGCGGUGAAAUGCGUAGAGAUCAGGAGGAACAUCGGUGGCGAAGGCGGCUUACUGGGCUUUUACUGACGCUGAGGCUCGAAAGCGUGGGGAGCAAACAGGAUUAGAUACCCUGGUAGUCCACGCUGUAAACGAUGAUUACUAGGUGUGGGGGGAUUGACCCCUUCCGUGCCGCAGUUAACACAAUAAGUAAUCCACCUGGGGAGUACGACCGCAAGGUUGAAACUCAAAGGAAUUGACGGGGGCCCGCACAAGCAGUGGAGUAUGUGGUUUAAUUCGAAGCAACGCGAAGAACCUUACCAGGUCUUGACAUCGAGUGACGUAUCCAGAGAUGGAUAUUUCCUUCGGGACACAAAGACAGGUGGUGCAUGGUUGUCGUCAGCUCGUGUCGUGAGAUGUUGGGUUAAGUCCCGCAACGAGCGCAACCCUUAUCAUUAGUUGCUACGCAAGAGCACUCUAAUGAGACUGCCGUUGACAAAACGGAGGAAGGUGGGGAUGACGUCAAAUCAUCAUGCCCCUUAUGACCUGGGCUACACACGUACUACAAUGGCGAUCAAACAGAGGGAAGCAAGACAGCGAUGUGGAGCCAAUCCCAAAAAAUCGCCCCAGUUCAGAUUGCAGGCUGCAACUCGCCUGCAUGAAGUCGGAAUUGCUAGUAAUCGCAGAUCAGCAUGCUGCGGUGAAUACGUUCCC
rnacentral:rRNA from 1 species